rnacentral:lncRNA from 1 species
GAAACAGGGUCUUCUGGAUGAGAGAGGACUGUGGUCCUCCCGGAUUCACAGCAGCAUCCGCCUAAGAUCUGCAUGAAGAACAAGCCGGUCAGCAUUCCAGCCCAGAGCAAGAAGAGCUAUCAAUGGCCUCUGUGGGAACAAGAGCGUUCCAGGCGGAUGAUCAUUCAUCAUGGCAGGGAUACAAGGCAGCAAGCAUCAAGCACCGUAGUAGGAGCUGCAAACGGAGCGACCAGAACUCUACUGCACAUACAGGAGCAAAGAGCCUACACUGGCGCCAACUGGGGACCAGAUGUCAAAUACAUGAGUCUGUGCGGGACAUUUCUCACGCAGCCAACAACACCACAUCUACAGCAGCAAUCACACAAAGUAAGUAAGCCCCUGUCAUAAACUUUAAACGUAUGUGUAUGAUCGAG